rnacentral:rRNA from 1 species
GCGCGAAAACUUUACAAUGCGGGCAACCGUGAUAAGGGAACCUCGAGUGCCUGUACAUGCAGGCUGUUCGGGUGUCUAAAACACACCUGAAGAAAGGGCCGGGCAAGACCGGUGCCAGCCGCCGCGGUAAUACCGGCGGCUCGAGUGGUGGCCACUUUUAUUGGGCUUAAAGCGUUCGUAGCUGGGUUGUUAAGUCUCUUGGGAAAUCUGACGGCUCAACCGUCAGGCGUCUAAGGGAUACUGGCAAUCUUGGAACCGGGAGAGGUGAGGGGUACUUCGGGGGUAGGAGUGAAAUCCUGUAAUCCUCGAGGGACCACCUGUGGCGAAGGCGCCUCACCAGAACGGCUUCGACAGUGAGGGACGAAAGCUGGGGGAGCAAACCGGAUUAGAGACCCCGGUA